ACGGUUAUAAAUCAACAUAUUGAUUUAUAAGCAUGGAAAUCCCCUGAGUGAAACAACGAAUUGCUGUGUGUAGUCUUUGCCCAUC
rnacentral:antisense_RNA from 1 species